rnacentral:rRNA from 1 species
UAAGGCAAUUAUUUACCUCUACGCAAUAAUUUACGUCUCUCAUACUCUCCAAGUUGCAUCUGCGCUGAAAGAAUUGAGCGGUGUUGGGGAAGGCGCUGGCUUGUGCCAGAGUCGGUGCCAGGCCCGCCUCCAUCGUUGCGCGUCCGGGAUGGACCCUCCCUUAAGACAGAUCGCUUGAGAGUGCAGCCCUAAGUGAGUGGUAAACUCCAUCUAAGGCUAAAUACGACCGGGAGAACGAUAUUUCACGAGUGCUGUGAGCGUGAGGUAAAGUUGAAAAUAACUUUGAAGAGAGGGCUCAAAAGUACGAGUACCUACGGUGUUACGUUUCCUUCGGCGUGGUCUAUCUUGAGCAGGCGAGCUGAUUUCUCUUGAAAGUGUUCAGUUCAUUUAGAAAUUUGUAAUGUAUAUUUCUGAUUGUUUGAGCCUGUUUAGUUAAAUGCGUUGCUUGAUACACCCAGUAACAUUAUAAAUGGGCUCACUGUUUUACAUAUGUAGCCUUCUUCAUGUGAGCUACUCUAGCGGCCAGCGGAAGCAGUGUAUGAGAAUCGGCUGGUGACGCGUUCACAGUCACCAAAGUAUGUCCCGCCGCUGUAAGAAGCCUUAUGUUUCAAAAGAG